UAAUUAAAACAAAGCAUUGCGAUGGUCCCUGCGGAUGUUGACGCAAUGUGAUUUACGCCUAGUGCUCUACAUGUUAAAGUGAAGAAAUUCAAUCAAGCACGGGUAAAGGGCGGGAGUAACUAUGACUCUCUUAAGGUGGCUAGAUUCCUUGUCAUCUAAUUAUUGACGUGCAUGAAUGGAUUAACAAGAUUCCCAUUGUCCCUCGAUACUAUCUAGAGACACCACAAUCAAGGCAAUGGACUUGGUAGAAUCAUCGGGGGAAAAAGGCCUUGUUGAUCUUGACUCUAGUCCGAAAUUGUGAAAUGACUUGAGAGGUGUAGAAUAAGUGGGAGCCAUUUUCAGUGCAAGUGAAAUACCACUACUUUUAAUGCUAUUUUACUUAUUCCAUGGAGCAGAGAUGGGGCAUUGCACAUAUGUUAAAAUAUAAUGCACAUUUCCUCAAAGUGUUGUCAUUGAUGGCAAUGGUCGAGAGCUCAUUCUUCACAUACUUGAUGGCAAUUAGUUUAGGAAACCAAAUAGGAUCAUUACUUUUAAGGAUGAAGAAAGUUCCUACAAUCCCUAUGUUUUUAGCCAACACCCCCCUAUAAUUAUCUAUGUUAUGGUUCCUCAUUGU
rnacentral:ncRNA from 1 species